rnacentral:lncRNA from 1 species
CAAGGUCGGAAUACAACAUAAAAUUUAAUAAGUAAACAUAAUAAAAAGUUAUCUAUACAAUAUUUGUUGUAACCACCCAUAUGUAGAUACACCACGUUAUUUUUCACGGCUACUUUAAGGAUGUACUUAGGUGAGAUUUUGGAAUAAGUGUCAAAUUUUCGAACUCCCAAUCUUUUUCCAUACGAUACAAGGUAAAAUAUGUUGCCCUAUAGCACCCAUUUAUCUUUUAACAUAAGACGUAAUUGCUCGUAAAAGGUAAUUUGACAAAAUUUAAGCAGAUUCUCGAUUUUCUUUCUUUUAAAUUGAGACCCAAAUUAUACCAAUGGAAAUAUAAGGUAAAGGUCCAAGUCAGCCGUUUCCCGCCAUAUUUUUUUAAUCAAAUAUCUCGAACAGUAGCUCCAAGACCUAUCCAUACUUUAAGCUUAUUUUGAUCCUUAACUAAUAUUUCUCCUGCAUAAAGUAUCAAUUUUGAAUAUUUGAUCUAUUUAAUUACCUAAGAUCAACUAAGUACAUCCUAAAUGUAAACUGACAUGUAUAGGCAGAGGAAAAUAUGUCAAAUGUCAUUUUAAUAUUCUUUAUGUUUUAGUUUCAGAACCCCGUCCGGCCUUCUUAGCAGUGUGGACAGCAAUUAUUGAUUAUUUGAGGAGCAGUGAUAUAAUCAAAUUUAACAAAGUUGUCACAAACAUAGGCAAUGAUUAUAGUCCCAGUACAGGAAAAUUCAAAGCCCCAAAACAAGGUACCUACUUUUUUGGAGGUACAGUAAUGUCUGCUCCCCUAGUCCACUUAGUAUGAAGUUGAUGAAAAGUGGAACAUCAAUAAUGAAUCCCUAUGCAAGCCAAACACAAGGGGAUAGUUACACGUUUACCGCCGUCUUGCAAUUGAAUGUAGGAGAUACCGUUUAUGUCGAGAAAGAUAAUAGACUGGGAGCGGAAAAGGCGUUUGGGCUUUCCCAUUCUACAUUAUCUGGAUUCAUGAUAUCUGAACCUGAAAACUGAACUGUCUGUACAUAAUAUAUUGGGAUUUCCAAAUGCAAAUUAUAUUGCUUAUUUCUCCUGUAGCCAGUUAUAAGUUUAGUCAGUUAGUAAGUUUCCAGAUAAACUGAUGGCAAACUAUCCAAAACUUCGUAACAAAAAAUAUUUAAUAGUCACAUGAGAUAACAGACAUAUCAAAAUACUACACAUGAGAUAACAGACAUAUCAAAAUACUACACAUGAGAUAACAGAAGCAUCAAAUCACCACACAUGAGAUAACAGAAGUAUCAAAUCACCACACAUGAGAUAACAGACAUAUCAAAUCACCCCACAUGAGAUAACAGAAGUAUCAAAUCACCACACAUGAGAUAACAGAAGUAUCAAAUCACCACACAUGAGAUAACAGAAGUAUCAAAUCACCACACAUGAGAUAACAGACAUAUCAGAACACCACAAAUGAGAUAACAAAAGUAUUAAAACACCCCACAUGAGAUAACAGAAGUAUAAAAUCACCACGUAACAGAUAACCGAGAUGUCAAACUGCCAUUUCCGAGGAAACAAGAAAUUACAAACUGUCAACGUCUUAAAAUGAACUGAACACACCUGCAUAGAUAUUGCUUCGCUUACAUCAUGUACAUAUUAGUGCACAAAUAAAUACUUAUUUCAAAUUUACUUGAUUUGCGUUUUUUUUUAUUGUUCUUAAGUCCGUCGGGAUAAGAUAUUCACAUUCCCAAAAAAAAAAAAAAAAAAACCCAACAAAACCAAAAAAAAAACACACACACAAAAGCUUGUUCCAAAUUCAAAGAAUGUGUGCAUUGUUCCGAACAUAGGCGUCGGUAUAUUUGGAGACUGACAUAUGCGUUGUAUUUGGAUCUGUAUUACGCAUGCAUAUCUUCACGCAUCAAAUGAAAUAUUUCUAAAUCACGAUAAAAAAAAAUACAGUAACCCAGCGACGAACACUUGUAAAAUAAAUUUAAAUUAUUUUAUAGCGAUAAGCAUACAGAGGGGGGAAAUUUGAAAAGCC